rnacentral:rRNA from 1 species
AUACGGAGGGUGCAAGCGUUACUCGGAAUCACUGGGCGUAAAGCGCGCGCAGGCGGCUAUUUAAGUUGGAUGGGAAAGCCUACGGCUCAACCGUAGAACUGCAUCCAGAACUAUUUAGCUAGAGUGUGGGAGAGGAAGAUGGAAUUAGUUGUGUAGGGGUAAAAUCCGUAGAGAUAACUAGGAAUACCAAAAGCGAAGGCAAUCUUCUGGAACACUACUGACGCUGAGGCGCGAAAGCGUGGGGAGCAAACAGGAUUAGAAACCCCAGUAGUCC